rnacentral:tRNA from 1 species
GUCAGGAUGGCUGAGUGGUUUAAGGCGUCUGACUCAAGUUCUAGUCCUUGUGAGAGGGCGGGGUUCAAAUCCCACUUCUGACA